GAUGGACGCUAGCGGGAGGCCUAACACAUGCAAGCCGAGCGGUAUUGUUUCUUCGGCAAUGAGAGAGCGGCGUACGGGUGCGUAACACGUGUGCAACCUGCCUUUAUCUGGGGGAUAGCCUUUCGAAAGGAAGAUUAAUACUCCAUAAUAUAUUGAACGGCAUCGUUUAAUAUUGAAAGCUCCGGCGGAUAGAGAUGGGCACGCGCAAGAUUAGCUAGUUGGUGAGGUAACGGCUCACCAAGGCGAUGAUCUUUAGGGGGCCUGAGAGGGUGAUCCCCCACACUGGUACUGAGACACGGACCAGACUCCUACGGGAGGCAGCAGUGAGGAAUAUUGGUCAAUGGGUGCAAGCCUGAACCAGCCAUCCCGCGUGAAGGACGACUGCCCUAUGGGUUGUAAACUUCUUUUGUAUAGGGAUAAACCUACCCUCGAGAGGGUAGCUGAAGGUACUAUACGAAUAAGCACCGGCUAACUCCGUG
rnacentral:rRNA from 1 species